GGGAAAUGAUGCUUCAAAGGAUUGCCAAAUAAUUGGCAUAAAACAAACAAGAAAACUUUUCGCGCGUAUAUUCAGUAGUUUGUCGUCAAACAAUCAAAAGCGUCUUCCAACUGACUAUUUUGCUAUAAAAUGAAAUCCUGUGUAUCAAAGAAAAAAAAGGCGGAAAUUCAGUGUAUUUUAUUGAGUCAUUUGUCUGAAAGCCUAUGUGAUACAACUCCAAAGUCCAAAGAAAGAGAUGAAGAAGAAAAAGCCCUAACUGCAGUCAAGAAGCUGGACUGUAAUAGGCGUAAACUCCAUAGAAGGUCUGUGUGGCAGUAAGUAAAAGCAGCACAACAGCAGCAAUUAAAGAGAUGAUAGCCCACGGAUUGCCGAAAUAUUUAUGCUUCAAACUGGCACGCCAAGUAUUCCAUCUGUGAUUAUAAUACCGGUUUACAUCCUGAGACAACCUGGAAAGAUAACUAUCAUUUAUAUCGAAAACCACCUCUUGACAGAGGCGGUUGAAGAGGUCUGCAACUUCAGCAUCACUUCCAAGCCAAUGUUCUAUUAUCCCACAAUAAUGAAGGUAUGCCACAUCCUCGGGUGAGUUGAUCAAAUUAUCCAUAAAAACCACAUAUGAGGUUAUGUUAUUGCUGCAAUCAAGAUGGCACUGCUCAAAUGCAAUCAGAUUGAGGAAAAGUGAUCUGGUUCCAUCAUGGAUCAAGAGACGAGGAAUCCAGAGAACCCCAUUCUUGAAUUUUAUGUCCCAGAAUCUAUCAGUCUUCCUUCGCUUGAACUUGACACCUGCUUCUCUCAGCUCUGUCACACAAUGGAUCAAUUGUGUUCUCCUCUUAUCAGCAACUCGAUUGGCAUGUGACCAUCUCUUGAUCCAAAUUCUGGGCACGGUUUUAGGCCCUGUUCGCAGGAGACUUAGUCGGAAAACAUCAAGGCAAUGAACUCCUCCUUGAUCUGCUAAGGGGUCAAAGGUAGUCUCAUGUCCCAGGGAAGACUCCAAUUUGCUCUUUUCGCUUUUUGUUAGUGGCUCAUCUGUUGGCAUUAGUGGAUCGAAGAAUCCGAGUGCAAGCUUUGCCACAAGUCCUUUCUGAUCAGGAUCAUCUGAUUGAAGUCCCAGUAACCGAUCAAGUAUAAAGAGUGGAAGCUGAUUCUCUAGCAUUAUCAUGUCUCUCUGAAUAGAAUGCAUCGAGCCACGCAUUGCGAAAAUGGGAUCAUUUCUGGCAUAACCAAGUUGCUUGAAUCCCUCAGCAGCACCUCUGAAGAGUUCAAGCACAAAACAACCAUCAAGAACCAUCAUUUCCACAAAUUCAUUGCUGCUAAGACUGAUGGAACCCUCGUAACAGGAACGAGCUCUCUCUUCAAGUUCUCUGAUAGAAUCAAGGAACAGUUUUAUUUCCUUAUUAGUACGCUUGAGUACAUGGUGAAGGGAACGCCACUUAUGGCGAUCCAUUUGGCGUAGGCGUCUCUUCCCAUGGUGGUAAGGGCCCAAGGAGACAAUCUGAGGGACAUAAGCUUUAUCAUCCCCUUCUCGCAGGUAGUGGGGAACUCUGUAGAUGCACAACUUUGCCCAAGAACCUGCUGCAUCAUCUUGUCGAGCUUGUUCAAGUUUUUCUUUGAUGGAUAUCACCCACUCAGAAUCAGUUAACUUGGUUUCCUCUUCGCAGUUUUCACCAUCUUCAUUGAUAACAAUCUGCAGGUAAUCUGAUGGUGCCUGCUGUUGCUUUUGCAGAUCCUGUUGAGGCUGUUCUGGAAAUUCAAGCAAUUGGGCACUGCCAGUAGGCGAUUUUGGGACUGCAGAUUCCACUGUUUCCCUGAGUUUCAGUGUGAUAAGGUACCAACUUAGAAGCUCUUUGUUGAACACUGCAACCAUUUCUUUUGAGAAAAAAGCAAUAGCAGAUUUGAUUUUGGUUGAAAAGAAAUCUCCCUAAGAAAUGCAACUCUUUUAACUUGCAGGGAACAAACUCUUAAUGACGUAAAAUAGGGUAGUAUCCAGACAUCAUGUUGUAGAAAGAGAAUAAUACUUUAAUUGAUCUGGC
rnacentral:misc_RNA from 1 species